rnacentral:rRNA from 1 species
AUUGAACGCUGGCGGCAGGCCUAACACAUGCAAGUCGAACGAGUGGCGGGCGUGUGAGUAAUGUCUGGGAAACAGCCUGAUGGAGGGGGAUAACUACUGGAAACGGUAGCUAAUACCGCAUACCAUUCACUUUUCCCAGAUGGGAUGAUCUUGGUGGUGGGGUAACGGCUUACCAAGGCGACGAUCACUAGCUGGUCUGCGAGGAUGACCAGCCACAUUGGAACUGAGACACGGCCCAGACUCCUACGGGAGGCAGCAGUGGGGAAUAUUGCACAAUGGGCGCAAGCCUGAUGCAGCAAUGCCGCGUGUAUGAAGAAGGCCUUCGGGUUGUAAAGUACUGUCAGCGGGGAGGCGGUACCCUACGAAAAAGCACCGGCUAACUCCGUGCCAGCAGCCGCGGUAAUAC